UGUGAUAGCUUUCCCAAGAAGCGAUGGAAUUCCCUCGAGGACAUUGGUACAGCACAGGCUUGUCAAAGUCGUUGACGUAUGACGUCACGACAGGGGUAAGCGAAAGCAGAAGCAAUGCAGUAGUGAGGCAUGAGCGCCAUCUGACGAGCCUAGG